UACAGAGGUCUCAAGCGUUGUUCGGAUUCAUUGGGCGUAAAGGGUGCGUAGGCGGCGCGGUAAGUCGGGUGUGAAAUCUUGGAGCUUAACUCCGAAACUGCAUUCGAUACUGCCGUGCUUGAGGACUGGAGAGGAGACUGGAAUUUACGGUGUAGUGGUGAAAUGCGUAGAGAUCGGGAGGAACACCCGUGGCGAAGGCGGCCAGCUGGGCCGUCCCUGACGCUGAGGCGCGAAGGCGUGGGGAGCGAACGGG
rnacentral:rRNA from 1 species